rnacentral:rRNA from 1 species
UACGGAGGGGGCAAGCGUUGUUCGGAAUUACUGGGCGUAAAGGGCGCGCAGGCGGCUGCUCAAGUCAGGCGUGAAAGGCCUGGGCUCAACCCGGGAAUUGCGCUUGAGACUGGGCUGGCUUGAGUGCGGGAGAGGAUGGUGGAAUUCCCAGUGUAGAGGUGAAAUUCGUAGAUAUUGGGAAGAACACCGGUGGCGAAGGCGGCGCUCUGGACCGAGACUGACGCUGAGGCGCGAAAGCGUGGGGAGCAAACAGG